CGUGCGAAUCCAUUCAGUUAUUUCAAUGUUAGUGUAAACGGAAAGAAAAUUCGUCGGGAAAUUCUCUAUGCAAUUCAAUCCGAGCGAAACAAGCAAUAUGUUAACUUGGUUCCGCGUAGUCGUGUUAUUGAUAAUCUCAUCGAAAUGGACAUACACGCUUGAAGUUCGUUCUUGCAGUUCAAAGAAACCCCUUCCAUUGAGUGUAGAAGUGGAUGGGUGCAAUAAAGAGCCAUGCAAGGUGAUAAAUAAGAGCAACAUUCACUUUGCAAUAAACUUUGAAGUUUGUAACUGAAGAUACUGAAAAACUACGAGCCCACGCAAAGGCUUUUCUGGAAGGCGUCUUACUACCGUACGACGUGCCCAAGGAAGAUUUGGACGCUUGUAAGUUUUUAAAGAAUGCAACGUGUCCAUUG